rnacentral:rRNA from 1 species
UAGGGAAUCUUCGGCAAUGGGGGGAACCCUGACCGAGCAACGCCGCGUGAGUGAAGAAGGUUUUCGGAUCGUAAAGCUCUGUUGUUAAGGAAGAACGAGUGUGAGAAUGGAAAGUUCAUACUGUGACGGUACUUAACCAGAAAGGGACGGCUAACUACGUGCCAGCAGCCGCGGUAAUACGUAGGUCCCGAGCGUUGUCCGGAUUUAUUGGGCGUAAAGCGAGCGCAGGCGGUUAGAUAAGUCUGAAGUUAAAGGCAGUGGCUCAACCAUUGUAGGCUUUGGAAACUGUUUACCUUGAGUGCAGAAGGGGAGAGUGGAAUUCCAUGUGUAGCGGUGAAAUGCGUAGAUAUAUGGAGGAACACCGGUGGCGAAAGCGGCUCUCUGGUCUGUAACUGACGCUGAGGCUCGAAAGCGUGGGGAGCGAACAGG